rnacentral:rRNA from 1 species
AUUGAACGCUGGCGGCAGGCCUAACACAUGCAAGUCGAGCGGAUGAAGGGAGCUUGCUCCUGGAUUCAGCGGCGGACGGGUGAGUAAUGCCUAGGAAUCUGCCUGGUAGUGGGGGAUAACGUCCGGAAACGGGCGCUAAUACCGCAUACGUCCUGAGGGAGAAAGUGGGGGAUCUUCGGACCUCACGCUAUCAGAUGAGCCUAGGUCGGAUUAGCUAGUUGGUGGGGUAAAGGCCUACCAAGGCGACGAUCCGUAACUGGUCUGAGAGGAUGAUCAGUCACACUGGAACUGAGACACGGUCCAGACUACUACGGGACGCAGCAGUGGGGAAUAUUGGACAAAGGGCGAAAGCCUGAUCCAGCCAUGGCGCGUGUGUGAAGAAGGUCUUCGGAUUGUAAAGCACUUUAAGUUGGGAGGAAGGGCAGUAAGUUAAUACCUUGCUGUUUUGACGUUACCAACAGAAUAAGCACCGGCUAACUUCGUG